UUUGGCACUGCAUAUUUUGUUUGUGCAAAUUUUGUGGGAUGGCCAGCAGGAAUACAUGCCAGAGAGAUGAUAAUAAUGCUUCUCCAUCACUUGCAUUGCUUACAUGUUGUUUAUGUGAGGAUAAAUACCACCAACCCUGUACCCAUGCUAAGGAUGCUAUAAGUGAUGAUCCUGAUAGUUUGGAAUUUUGUGGAAAGAAAUGCAAAGAGUUAUACAAUAGACUGCAGAUGCUUUUUGGGGUAAAACAAGAACUGGAUGAAGGAUUUUCAUGG
rnacentral:misc_RNA from 1 species